AUGUUCAGCUCGUCUUUUAAAUGAGGAAAAAUAUUCAGCUCCUUAAAGUAUUUUGCUAAAAAAUUCAGCUCGUUGAAAUACCUAGCAGAAAAAUUCAGCUCCUUAAAGUAUUUUGCUAAAAAAUUCAGCUCGUUAAAAUACCUAACAGAAAAAUUAAGCUCCUUAAAGUAUUUUGCUAAAAAUUUCAGCUCGUUAAAAUACCUAGCCGAAAAAUUCAGCUCUUAGCUAAGGAAUAAUAAUUAAGAGAAUUAAAACGGAUAUAUAGAAAAUAAAUUUGUGAGAUCUUAUCUAUUAGAUUUUUGAUCUAAUAGUUAAAAAGUAAAUAUAAAUAAGCAUUUUUAUAAUUGAGUUGGAUUUUAUAUUAGGCUGGACUAAAAAUCAAAUAAUAAAAAAAUUUGCAUUUUAUACAUAUAAUUAAUUUAUAUAUAUAUAUAAAUAUAAAAUAUAUAAUUAAGUUAUAUAAAUAUAAAAUAUAUAUAUUCGAUCUGUUAUCGAGCAAAACACGAGCAAGCUAACCCAAGCUCGUGUUUGCUGAAAAAAUUCAGCUCGCCUUCGGCUCAUUCACUAAACGAACGAUACGAUCUCGAACUCAUUUCGAGCCGAACACGUACUGGCUCGCGAACACAAACUUGCUAGCAAACAACGAGCUAGAUUGCCACCUCUAAUGCCCAC
rnacentral:lncRNA from 1 species